rnacentral:rRNA from 1 species
GACGAACGCUGGCGGCGUGCCUAAUACAUGCAAGUCGAACGCAGUGGGGACGGGUGAGUAACACGUGGGUAACCUCCCAUCAGAGGGGAUAACACUUGGAAACAGGUGCUAAACCGAUACUGAUGGAUGGACCCGCGGUGCAUUAGCUAGUUGGUGAGGUAACGGCUCACCAAGGCCACGAUGCAUAGACGCACUGAGAGCGUGAUCGACCAAACUGGGACAGAGACACGGCCCAGACACCGACAGGAGGCAGCAGCAGGGAAUCUUCGGCAAGGGACGAAAGUCUGACCGAGCAAAGCCGCGUGAGUGAAGAAGGUUUGCGGAUCGUAAAACUCUGUUGUUAGAGAAGCGGUAUCUAACAAGAAAGCCACGGCUAACUACGUGCCAGCCGCCGCGGUAAUAC